rnacentral:rRNA from 1 species
UGGGGAAUUUUGGACAAUGGGCGAAAGCCUGAUCCAGCAAUGCCGCGUGAGUGAAGAAGGCCUUCGGGUUGUAAAGCUCUUUUGUCAGGGAAGAAACGGUGAGGGCUAAUAUCCCUUGCUAAUGACGGUACCUGAAGAAUAAGCACCGGCUAACUACGUGCCAGCAGCCGCGGUAAUACGUAGGGUGCAAGCGUUAAUCGGAAUUACUGGGCGUAAAGCGUGCGCAGGCGGUUUUGUAAGUCUGAUGUGAAAUCCCCGGGCUCAAACUGGGAAUUGCAUUGGAGACUGCAAGGCUAGAACCUGGCAGAGGGGGGUAGAAUUCCACGUGUAGCAGUGAAAUGCGUAGAUAUGUGGAGGAACACCGAUGGCGAAGGCAGCCCCCUGGGUCAAGAUUGACGCUCAUGCACGAAAGCGUGGGGAGCAAACA